rnacentral:rRNA from 1 species
CAGUACGGUCAUAUCACGCUGAGAGCACGGGUUCUCGUCCGAUCAUCGAAGUUAAGCAACGUCGAGCCUGGUGAGUACUUAGAUGGGUGACCGCUUGGGUUAGGGUUAGGUGCUGUAAGCA